rnacentral:rRNA from 1 species
CAGCAGCCACGGGAAUACGUAGGUGGCGAGCGUUGUCCGGAAUUAUUGGGCGUAAAGGGAGCGCAGGCGGACAUAUAAGUCCAUCUUAAAAGUGCGGGGCUCAACCCCGUGAGGGGAUGGAAACUGUAUGCCUUGAGUGCAGGAGAGGAAAGCGGAAUUCCCAGUGUAGCGGUGAAAUGCGUAGAUAUUGGGAGGAACACCAGUGGCGAAGGCGGCUUUCUGGACUGUAACUGACGCUGAGGCUCGAAAGCCAGGGGAGCGAACGGGAUUAGAUACCCCCGUAGUCCCUGUCUCUUAUACA